ACUCAAAUGAAUAGACGGGGGCCCGCACAAGCGGCGGAGCAUGUGGAUUAAUUCGAUGCAACGCGAAGAACCUUACCUGGGUUUGACAUGCACUGGAUCCCAGCAGAGAUGUUGGUUCCGUAAGGCUGGUGCACAGGUGGUGCAUGGCUGUCGUCAGCUCGUGUCGUGAGAUGUUGGGUUAAGUCCCGCAACGAGCGCAACCCUCGUUCCAUGUUGCCAGCGGGUAAUGCCGGGGACUCAUGGGAGACUGCCGGGGUCAACUCGGAGGAAGGUGGGGAUGAGGUCAAGUCAUCAUGCCCCUUAUGUCCAGGGCUUCACACAUGCUACAAUGGCCGGUACAGAGGGCUGCGAAGCCGUGAGGUGGAGCGAAUCUCAGAAAGCCGGUCUCAGUUCGGAUCGGGGUCUGCAACUCGACCCCGUGAAGUCGGAGUCGCUAGUAAUCGCAGAUCAGCAACGCUGCGGUGAAUACGUUCCCGGGCCUUGUACACACCGCCCGU
rnacentral:rRNA from 1 species